AUGCAAGUCGAACGGUGAUGCCCAGCUUGCUGGGUUGAUCAGUGGCGAACGGGUGAGUAACACGUGAGUAACCUGCCCCAGACUCCGGGAUAAGCCUUGGAAACGAGGUCUAAUACUGGAUAUGAGAUGCCCCUGCAUGGGGAGUGUCUGGAAAGAUUUAUCGGUCUGGGAUGGACUCGCGGCCUAUCAGCUUGUUGGUGGGGUAAUGGCCUACCAAGGCGACGACGGGUAGCCGGCCUGAGAGGGCGACCGGCCACACUGGGACUGAGACACGGCCCAGACUCCUACGGGAGGCAGCAGUGGGGAAUAUUGCACAAUGGGCGCAAGCCUGAUGCAGCGACGCCGCGUGAGGGAUGAAGGCCUUCGGGUUGUAAACCUCUUUCAGCAGGGAAGAAGCGCAAGUGACGGUACCUGCAGAAGAAGCGCCGGCUAACUACGUGCCAGCAGCCGCGGUAAUACGUAGGGCGCAAGCGUUGUCCGGAAUUAUUGGGCGUAAAGAGCUCGUAGGCGGUUUGUCGCGUCUGGUGUGAAAACUCAAGGCUCAACCUUGAGCUUGCAUCGGGUACGGGCAGACUAGAGUGCGGUAGGGGUGACU
rnacentral:rRNA from 1 species